GGUUCCAUAGUGUAGUGGCUAUCGCAUCUGCUUUACACGCAGAAAGUUCUGGGUUCAAGGCCUAGUGGAACCA